CCGCUAACACAAGCGGAGUCAUGAGAGGUUCAUUUGAUCUCAGAGUGCAAAAAGGACAGCAAGGGAUUUCAGUUUAAAUCACAGUAGUAACAAUGUAUUUUUAUUUUAGUGCUAACAACACGGGUUAUGCGAUAGAUGAGAGGGAGAGAAGGAGUAGGGGGGAGAGAGAGAGGGGGAUAAAGAGGCAAAGAGAGAAAAAGGGGGGUAAUAGCUACCAACAGACAGGACGGGGGUCGCCGUUUUCUUCUUCAGUGGGGAUAUCUCUCUCGAAGAAAGUAACUUAGAAAGCCACUUUUAUAGUCUGUUUCAAAGCGAGGGCUGGUUGGCCAAGAGCUGGGGAGAUUCACAGGCCAUUGUGAUAAGACCCAUUGCUCUGUGAAGCAGGUAUGAGGUACAGAACAGGGCGCUCCCACCAGUCCCUGCUCAGCAGCAGGAACGAAGGCAGUGUUCCGUGGCAGCACAGCAAACACCUGUAAACCUAAACCUCUGGUUUAGGUUGAGCACACCUUCAAGCAAUCACUUAGCAGGCAUCCACCUCAACCAGGCCAGACCCCCUGCACAAAGUCCCCUGGGGUCUUCAGGGUCUUGGUCUCUGUUCUUGCGAUGGUCAUGAGGCAAAUGACGGAAACUUGGGACCGUCUCUUACACCACCCCGUGACUCACAAUCGUCAUCAAGAGGGCUCCUUCGUGGUGGUGUUGCGAAGUCUUCAGUUCUUGUCAAAUUUUGGUAGCAUAACCUGGUAAACAGAGACAGAAAAUCAGACAGAAAAAGAAAAGUAGGAAAAAGAUUAAAAAAAAAAAAAAAAAGGAAAAACAAAAGCAAAUAAUCAAUUUUCAAUUAAAAUACACAUUCAGUUUCUUCUUACAAAGAAUAAGCAAUUUCAAUUAAUACAACACAAUCAAAAUAAACAAUUUCAGUCAAUUUCUUUAUCACGUGGGCCGAUUUCCUAUUUUUACUUUUCCAAAAUUUCAUUUAAAUCUUGGUGAAGCAACAACUGCUUUACCAGAGAAGAAGUUGCUGGGGUUAUAUAAGAAAAAUCACAUCCUGCAAUUUUAGUAAAAUUACAAAGACAAAAACUUAAAUGAUUCUUUUGUAUUCACUACUAAAUUUUCUAUAAGUACACUAUCACAAGCAGUUCUCAAACAUGCACAUCCAUGGUCUAUACACACAAGUACUGUUUCAGAAGUCUCAUUAGGAUUUAUUUCAAAGUUGCAGACAUUUUGUUCUGUGUCCAAACAAAUAUCUUGAUCUCUGAUUCCAUUACUUUCACAGAUAAACCCUUGUUGCUCCUGGACAAUACAAUUUUCCAAAUUAACAGUUUGCCACUUCUCACCAAUUUGACAGGCCCAUUCCCUAUGCUUGAAAGGAUAGAGAAUAGCUCCAUCAUGAUUCAGCCCUAAUGCAAUGAUAGGGAAUAUUGAAUGUACUGAAACAUUAUGUAUAGUCAAUACAAAGGCUGUGGCUCUGUUUGUGCUGAGGUCACAGGUAAAAUUUUACUAGGUUCCACCAGUAUUGGAAUUCUUUUUCAAAAUCAAUGUCAUUGUCCCAAAUUAUUUUCUGAAUUUCAGUAGGAAAAGUGCCUUUUUUGCCUUGUCUUAUAAUUGAGGCAGUAACUGGCUGAAUCCACGAUUGGGCCUGAAUGUAGCCAAGAGCCAAAGAGAUGUUAUUUUUGUGUAGCACCAUGCACGUCAAUUAUUAAUUUGUGAUCAUUUACAGUCACCUUUUCCCAAUUUAGGCAUACAAGCAUACACAGAGACACACCGGAGUACUCCAGGCGUGCUGGGCACAUCGAGGCACACCCAGAAACACCCAGGUGCACCAGGGCACACUGGGGCACGCCCGGGCUCACCGGGAUAAUGCCGGGCACUCCCUGCACCGCUGAGAACACCUUGGCAAACCCAGGCAGAACGAGGCACUUUGGGGCACUCCUGGGUACACAGGGGCACGCCUAAGCAAACACGGGCAUACCUGGGCACACCUGGGGGCACCGGUGCUCACCCGGCCACACCAGGGCAUGCCUGGCCAAACCAGGGCACACUGGAGCACACCCAAACACACCCCGGCACACCCGGGCAUACCUGGAAACACCCGGGCACACCGAGGCACACACGGGCAGACCCGAUCACACCGGGGUACAGUCGGACACAUCAGGGCACACGAGUGCACACCGAGACACACCCCGGCACACCUGAGAACACCCGGCCACACCCAGGCAUACUCGAGUAUACUCAGACACACCCAGGCUGGCCCCCCUGGGCACUCCUGGGCGCACCUGGGCACACCUUGACACACCCGAAAACACUAGAGUGCACCAAAACACACUGGAACACACCCGGGUAAACAGGGGCACACCGAGGCACACCAGGGCACACCAGAGCAUACCCGGAAACACUCGGGAACACCGGGACACGCCUGGACACAUCGCAGCACACCCGGAGACACCCCGGCACAUCGGGGCACACCGGGGCACUCCUGGGCACACCUGAGCACACCUGUGCACACCCAAUCACACUGGACGCACCAGGGCACACCCGGACACACCCAGGCGCACUCAAACACACCGGAGAACACCCAUGCACACAUAGGCACACUGGGGCACAGCUGGGAACAUCGGAGAACACCUUCAAACACCCUAGCACACCUAGCACACCGGAGCUCACCGGGGCACACUGGAGUGCAUCCAAACACACCCAGUCACACCCGGGUUCAGCAGCGCACACCAGGUCCCACGGGGGCACAACCAGGCACACCUGGGUACAGUCGGGCACAUCUGGACACACGAAUGCACACCGGGACACACCCUGGCACACCUGGGAACACCAGGGCACACCCAGGCAUACCCAUGCACAUGGGGGCACACUGAGGCACACCUGGGCUCACCUGGGCACACCGGGGCACCUUGGGGCAGACCUGGACACUUGUGGACACGAUCUUAAAUAUUACAUAAACAGUACUUGUUACAUAGAAAGAAGCAGAGAUUUGUGUGCAAUGUAUGUAAAUCUACAACUAGGCCUCCUUAAUUGAAGGACUCAGUAAACAUAAAAUGUUACUCAGUGCUCUUAUUUUCAGACUUUAAAGAUCCUCAGCUUUCACAUCAGAAUUUUUGAAGCCUAAGGAAGUAAUAACUAAAGGGUUACAGAACGUUUCUGUUUGAUUGAAAGCCAAUUUUAUGUAUUAUUACAGAUUUAUAAAGAAAAUUAUAAUUUCAGCCAGCUGUCUGCAGGGGGGAGGGGGCCGGGUGUUGGGUUGUUUUGGGGUUUUAUUGGGGGUUUUAUUUGGUGUUUGGAUUUUACAAUGCAGUUCACUUAAACCUUUGACAACUAGUUUGAUGCACUUAAUCUGCAUUAAUCUGUAGCUGAUAGAACUUUUAUUCCCCAAGAUGUCGCAUCUUAAUUCCUUUUAGGCUUACAAAAAGCCUAAAAGGCCUUGGAGCAGGCCCUGGAGCAGGCUCUGAUGCCUCUGGUAUAAAAACAAAAGCUGAGAAGAAAGGAGAUGAAUACGUUAUUAAUGGUCAGAAGAUGUGGAUCACAAAUGGGGGGAAAGCAAACUGGUAUUUUUUGCUAGCACGUACCAGUCCAGAUC